rnacentral:rRNA from 1 species
AUUGAACGCUAGCGGGAUGCCUUACACAUGCAAGUCGAACGGCAGCGCGGACUUCGGUCUGGCGGCGAGUGGCGAACGGGUGAGUAAUGUAUCGGAACGUGCCCAGUAGCGGGGGAUAAAUACUCGAAAGAGUAGCUAAUACCGCAUACGCCCUACGGGGAAAAGGGGGGGAUCGCAAGACCUCUCACUAUUGGAGCGGCCGAUAUCGGAUUAGCUAGUUGGUGAGGUAAAGGCUCACCAAGGCGACGAUCCGUAGCUGGUUUGAGAGGACGACCAGGCACACUGGGACUGCGACACAGCCCAGACUCCUACGGGAGGCAGCAGUGGGGAAUUUUGGACAAUGGGGGCAACCCUGAUCCAGCCAUUUCGCGUGUGCGAUGAAGGCCGUCGGGUUGUAAAGCACUUUUGGCAUGAAAGAAAUCGCACGGAUUAAUACUCUGUGUGGAUGACGGUACCUGCAGAAUAAGCACCGGCUAACUUCGUGCCAGCCGCCCCGUAA